ensembl:snRNA U6 U6 spliceosomal RNA
GUGCUCACUUCAGCAGCAUAUAAACUAAAACUAAAAUUGGAAUAAUAUAGAGAGGAUUAGUAUGCCCUCUGUGCAUGGAUGACAGGCAAAUUCAUGAUGCGUUCCAUUUUUGU